AUUUUAAAAUAAAAAAAAAAUCUGAAACAUCAUUUCUCCCUCCCUCUUUUCCUUUAUCUUCCCCGAAGCCUCAUUCUCUCUCUCACUGUGUUGCCUCUGCCAGGCCCGAAUGGCCAUCGUCCCAUCGCCGGAGCCGUACACGCUCCAGCCCAAUCGAACCGCUAGCCCUCGAAACGUCAACCCCCGCGAGCUCACCACCAUACGCGCUACCCAGGGCUGUCAACCAACGGUCCGAAGUCGUCCGCCUCUUGCAUUUUCCGGUGAGAUUCCAACUACCCCGAGCCUCUUGUUUGAUGAUCUGUGAUUAGUUAGGUAGUAAUACAUGUUUUCUAAUGUUAUUUUGGCAUAUGGGUUUGUAAUGUUUUAUCUUAAAUGGUUCUCUUUCUCAUUUUGUUUUCUCUCACAAAGAGAGGAUCCUAUGCUAUUAGUCUGAUCAAUUUAUGGCAAGGCUAUGACGGUGACGGGGGAGAGGUGUGGGUCUGGGCUCGUGGUCUUCCUCGUCUCAGAUGCGGGCUCAAUGGUGGGGAUGGGGAUCGACGUGAUGAGAAGAAUCAUCUUCCUCUCCUAUAAUUUACUGAAUUUGAUUAUUUAUCUAAGUGAAAGAUGCAUCUGAUUUCUUAAAGGACUUGUCCAGCAACUUAGAGAUUGAAAAUGAAUACGGAAAUAUUGAAGGGAAGUUUGGGCAGAAAGGAAAGGACUAUGUUAAGUGGGCAACAAAGAUGGCUUUAAGCCUUGGUGUUGGGGUUCCAUGGGUGAUGUGCAAGCAAACUGAUGCUCCGGAUGAAGUUGUAAGAUAGAUGCAUGCAAUGGAUACUAUUGUGAUGGUUAUAGGCCAAAUUCCUAUAACAAACCCAUGCUUUGGACUGAAAAUUGGGAUGGAUGGCUUACUGAGUGAGCCUAAAUGGGGACAUCUAAAGGAUCUGCAUGCUACUAUAAAGCUCUGUGAACCUUCUCUGGUUGCUGCUGAUUCACCCCAGUAUAUUAAAUUAGGACCAAAGCAGGAGGUUUGUGUGACCCUUUUAUUAUUGUUUUUUAUGCUUAACUUUUAAUUAUGUGAGCACAUGAUAACUUAUAAUGGAAUAGAAAAGGAAACCAAAUAUAAAGAAACAAGAAAAAACACUGUCAUGUAUCCCUACUUCCUUACAUGGAAUUUAGCACUUACCUUUCCCGAUCACUAAGAUACAAGUUCCAAGCCAAUGUUUUAAUUUCUUUCUGAAUCUUUUUCAUAGUUUUCUUAUCAGUUUUAAUGGUACAUUAUGUAUAAGUUAUUGUUAUCAUCAUUAUUAUUAUUAUUAAUUUUUAUGUGAAACAAAUUUGUAUUAAUAAUGGAUGAUAUGCUGUGUAUUACUGUAGACAGCCUCUGAAAGAUUGCUUCA